rnacentral:rRNA from 1 species
CCUACGGGUGGCAGCAGUGAGGAAUAUUGGUCAAUGGACGAAAGUCUGAACCAGCCAAGUCGCGUGCAGGAUGACUGCCCUAUGGGUUGUAAACUUCUUUUAUAUGGGAGUAAAAUGUUCCACGUGUAGGGUUUUGUAUGUACCAUAUGAAUAAGGAUCGGCUAACUCCGUGCCAGCAGCCGCGGUAAUACGGAGGAUCCGAGCGUUAUCCGGAUUUAUUGGGUUUAAAGGGUGCGUAGGUGGUUUGUUAAGUCAGUUGUGAAAGGUUGGGGCUCAACCGUAAAAUUGCAGUUGAUACUGGCAGUCUAGAGUACAGUAGAGGUGGGCGGAAUGUGUGGUGUAGCGGUGAAAUGCUUAGAUAUCACGAAGAACGCCGAUUGCGAAGGCAGCUUACUGGACUGCAACUGACACUGAGGCACGAAAGUGUGGGUAGCAAACAGGAUUAGAUACCCCUGUAGUC